GCGGAUAUAGUUCAUCGGUAGAACUUCGGCUUCCCAAGCAGGUAAGGUGGGUUCGAUUCCCAUUAUCCGCUCCA
rnacentral:tRNA from 1 species